AACUGGUCCUUCAACAUCUCUGUCGACAGAUUCAACUUUACCUGUUACAACAUCACCACCAACUACAGAUUCAACUCUAUUUGAAACAGCAGUCCCA